GAUGAACGCUGGCGGCGUGCUUAACACAUGCAAGUCGAACGGUGAAGCAGGAGCUUGCUCUGGUGGAUCAGUGGCGAACGGGUGAGUAACACGUGAGCAACCUGCCCCUGACUCUGGGAUAAGCGCUGGAAACGGCGUCUAAUACUGGAUAUGUGAUGUGACCGCAUGGUCUGCAUCUGGAAAGAAUUUCGGUUGGGGAUGGGCUCGCGGCCUAUCAGCUUGUUGGUGAGGUAAUGGCUCACCAAGGCGUCGACGGGUAGCCGGCCUGAGAGGGUGACCGGCCACACUGGGACUGAGACACGGCCCAGACUCCUACGGGAGGCAGCAGUGGGGAAUAUUGCACAAUGGGCGGAAGCCUGAUGCAGCAACGCCGCGUGAGGGAUGACGGCCUUCGGGUUGUAAACCUCUUUUAGCAGGGAAGAGGCGAAAGUGACGGUACCUGCAGAAAAAGCACCGGCUAACUACGUGCCAGCAGCCGCCGUAA
rnacentral:rRNA from 1 species